UCCGUAGGUGAACCUGCGGAGGGAUCAUUACACAAAUAUGAAGGCGGGCUGGAAUCUCUCGGGGUUACAGCCUUGCUGAAUUAUUCACCCUUGUCUUUUGCGUACUUCUUGUUUCCUUGGUGGGUUCGCCCACCACUAGGACAAACAUAAACCUUUUGUAAUUGCAAUCAGCGUCAGUAACAAAUUAAUAAUUACAACUUUCAACAACGGAUCUCUUGGUUCUGGCAUCGAUGAAGAACGCAGCGAAAUGCGAUAAGUAGUGUGAAUUGCAGAAUUCAGUGAAUCAUCGAAUCUUUGAACGCACAUUGCGCCCUUUGGUAUUCCAAAGGGCAUGCCUGUUCGAGCGUCAUUUGUACCCUCAAGCUUUGCUUGGUGUUGGGCGUCUUGUCUCUAGCUUUGCUGGAGACUCGCCUUAAAGUAAUUGGCAGCCGGCCUACUGGUUUCGGAGCGCAGCACAAGUCGCACUCUCUAUCAGCAAAGGUCUAGCAUCCAUUAAGCCUUUUUUCAACUUUUGACCUCGGAUCAGGUAGGGAUACCCGCUGAACUUAAGCAUAUCAAUAA
rnacentral:rRNA from 1 species